rfam:Bombyx mori DNA, contig: Bm_scaf48_contig25673, strain: p50T/Dazao, build 2, whole genome shotgun sequence.
CACUAAUGGGCCUGAAUCGUUGCUCAGACCUGUAUUUUCGACCAGGUGAGCAAACUUUCAGGUGUGUUAGUGC